GAAUUUUACCCACCAGAGGGCGUCUGGACUUUUGAACUUGCGAAUACUCUACGAACCCAUGAUACAAUGAAUACAAGACUAGCACAGUUGCCAGUUGUGCAAUAAAGUAUAGCGUUAGCUGAAAAUGUAUCCUUGCA